GUGGCUGUAGUUCAGUGGUAGAACAUCAGUUUGUGGAACUGAAUGUCGGGGGUUCAAUUCCCCUCAGCCACCCCA
rnacentral:tRNA from 1 species